rnacentral:lncRNA from 1 species
AUUCCUGAACUUCAGCCAACGCGUUUUGUGCUCUAACUUCAGCCAUUGAAGCUUCAAAAUCAACAUAAAACAAAUACUCAAAAUGCUUCGCAGUUCCAACAUUUGCAUCAUCAACAAGCCUAAUCGGACGGUUACGAUGUGGCCUUGAUUCAAUCUUCGUUAAACUAAUAUUCCUAAACGCAAAAGCUGAAAGCACUUUGAAAAGCACUGAAGUUCCUUUAUCAUGAGCGAAAACAAUACUUGUUUUAAAUGGACGAUCCGUACGUGGAAUUAUGGGUUCUCUGGCCAACAUAACGAAUCGGGUUACGUUACUUGGGUCAUCUUGAAUUCCAUCUGCUAAGAUAUUUAAUCCAUAAAGCUCGGCUGCACGUGCGCUGGCGAUAGCAGCAGUGUCGCGGAGAUUGUUAGUUGCAACAAACUCCGCAGCACCUGCAGUAUCGUCAACUGCUUCACGUGCGACGUUGAGGCCGAGUUUUGUUAAUGUGUGUUCGCAUUGAGAUAAAGCUUGUGGAUGAGAGAUGACACGUGUCAGAUAUUCUUUUCUGAUUCCGGGGAGAGCGAGGAGACAGUGAUGGACCGGGAGUUGAACUUCUCCGACGAUGUGGAGACGGUGACGGAGGAGGAGGUCGUAGUUACGGUGGAUUGAACCUCCGAGGGAAUUUUCUACCGGGAGAACAGCACGGUCGGCGAUCCAAAGCUCGACGGCUUGGAAAGCGACUUCGAAUUGGUCGCAAGGAAUUGCUUCGCAGUUUGGAUAAGCUUUUCCGGCGGCGGCUUCAGAGUAUGCUCCCGGGACUCCUUGGUAAGCGACGCGGAGAUUUGAGCCGUGCAUCGGUGCCGGAGCUAGGUCGGAGAUUGUUAACGGUUUUGGUGGAAGUGGCUUUGAAAUUUCUCCGGUGAGGUUCCCGAUGGGAACAAGCUGGAGAUCGGUGAUGUUUGUUUUGUGGCCGUUGAUAGCUGCAAAGUUUUCAUCGGCGCCGGCGUUGACGGCGGUGGAAGUGGAAGAUUGUUCUUGUGAAACAACUUUGCUAGAUAAGAUAGCGCAUGAGCUUUGCCAGUCGGUUCGGGUUGAACCGGUGUCAUAACUUGAACCGUAAGCACAUUUGACAGAAACACGGUUCGGACCAAGCCGGUUUGGAAAUUUCCACGGCCGUGUUAUUGUUAUGUGGUUGAAAUUGAGGGUGUUAGAAGAGGGAGGUGGAGAUAGAGUAUUCAUUAUUGAAAUGGGGGUGUUGAAAGCAAUUAAAAAUAGAAAGGGAAAAAGUGUGUGUUAUUGAAAUGAAGCUUGUGUUAUUCUCUUUUGGAGAAGGAAACAAGCUGAGAAAGAAGUGGAGGUGGUUAAGGGGUUUAAAUAUUAUUGUAAGAGUGUACCAAGUCUUGAAGGGAUGGUGCUUAUGGUCGUUCGGUCAAAUCUCAUACCUACCCCUUUUUUUUUUUUUUUAUGUAUUUAACUACCCACACACAUAUGUAUGUAUUUCG